CCAUCAACAAAGCCUCCAAGAAACUGAAGACCAUAAAAAUUGAAAACCUAGCUAAAAUCUCCACCAAAAAGUCCACGACCAAAAUGAUAGACCACGUCAAGAUUAGCCUCAAAGAAUCUAGCCAUGAUUUGUCCUUGUUCAAGUUCAAAUAUGAAACCAUUGUCACCCUCAUACUGUUCGAAGAGAAAGUUGUGGUGAAAUUAUCGUUCAAGCCCUGUGGGAUUGUCAUGAAAAUGAGCCAUCGUAGGUUACAAGGCGACAUGUUAAAGUGAGAGUAAAAUAGAAACUUACACUUUUGCCACAUCAUUUCGAUUUGGGAUGGAUUGGCCGAUGAAAUUGCUUGGAAUUCAGUAGUUGGG
rnacentral:lncRNA from 1 species